rnacentral:lncRNA from 1 species
CACCUCGGUCCAGCUUCAAUUGAAAGGGCUGCAGAUCCAAGCAUUAAGCCCACGAAGAAGGCAUACAAGGGCUGGACAACAUAUUGAAAAAGAACGCUACAUUCAGCAAAGGCAUCACGGCCCAAAAUAGGUGUGUGCUGGAUCCAGCAAUAGCAACCUCCAUGGUGCACAUAGCAACAGCCACAACUCACGUCCAUGUCCAGAAGUAGGAGAGUUGCACAACACGCUACUGCAUUCUGCAUUUGGAGAAAGAGCUGGAACGGGCCAGCAGUAAAGCACACGGUCCAGCUUGGGAGGUGCCCACGUCCAACUCCACGUCUAGAAGCUUCAUGGCAACAGCUGC